UCCGUAGGUGAACCUGCGGAAGGAUCAUUAUUGAAUACGAUUGGUGCUGUUGCUGGCUUCUUCACUGAGGCAUGUGCACGCCCAUCUAUUUAUCUUCUCUUGUGCACAUUUUGUAGUCUUGAAUCGAAACCUCUCGCAGCAAUGCGGUUUGGGAGAUUGGUGCUUCACGGCGCCUUCUCCUGCUUCUUCAAGGCUACGUUUUCAUAUACACGUUAAAGUUACAGAACGCCUUUUAACGAUUGUGCUUGUCGCAGUCAUUAAACCUAUACAACUUUCAGCAACGGAUCUCUUGGCUCUCCCAUCGAUGAAGAACGCAGCGAAAUGCGAUAAGUAAUGUGAAUUGCAGAAUUCAGUGAAUCAUCGAAUCUUUGAACGCACCUUGCGCCCUUUGGUAUUCCGAAGGGCAUGCCUGUUUGAGUGUCAUUAAAUUAUCAACCUUGUUCGCUUUUCGGAGCUUGAGCGAGGCUUGGAUGUGAGGGUUUUUGCUGGCUUCCUUCAGUGGAUGGUCUGCUCCCUUUAAAUGCAUUAGUGGGAWCUCUUUUGUGGACCGUCACUUGGUGUGAUAAUUAUCUAUGCCAUUGACUUGCUUAACGAGAAUCUGCUUAUAACCGUCUCGCAAGGGACAACACUUUAUGACAAUUGACCUCAAAUCAG
rnacentral:rRNA from 1 species